UGUGACCUUGCUGGGACCUAAG
rnacentral:misc_RNA from 1 species